rnacentral:rRNA from 1 species
GAUGAACGCUGGCGGCGUGCCUAAUACAUGCAAGUCGAGCGAACGGACGAGAAGCUUGCUUCUCUGAUGUUAGCGGCGGACGGGUGAGUAACACGUGGAUAACCUACCUAUAAGACUGGGAGAACUUCGGGAAACCGGAGCUAAUACCGGAUAAGAUUUUGAACCGAAUGGUUCAAAAGUAAAAGACGGUCUUGCUGUCACUGAUAGAUGGAUCCGCGCUGCAUUAGCUAGUUGGUAAGGUAACGGCUUACAAAGGCAACGAUGCAUAGCCGACCUGAGAGGGUGAUCGGCCACACUGGAACUGAGACACGGUCCAGACUCCUACGGGAGGCAGCAGUAGGGAAUCUUCCGCAAUGGGCGAAAGCCUGACGGAGCAACGCCGCGUGAGUGAUGAAGGUCUUAGGAUCGUAAAACUCUGUUAUUAGGGAAGAACAUAUGUGUAAGUAACUGUGCACAUCUUGACGGUACCUAAUCAGAAAGCCACGGCUAACUACGUG